rnacentral:rRNA from 1 species
UACGUAGGGGGCAAGCGUUGUCCGGAAUUAUUGGGCGUAAAGCGCGCGCAGGCGGCUUUGUAAGUCUGUCGUUUAAGUUCGGGGCUCAACCCCGUAUCGCGAUGGAAACUGCAAGGCUUGAGUACAGAAGAGGAAAGUGGAAUUCCACGUGUAGCGGUGAAAUGCGUAGAUAUUGGGAGGAACACCAGUGGCGAAGGCGGCUCACUGGACCGGAACUGACGCUGAGGCGCGAAAGCGUGGGGAGCAAACGGG